GAGUUUGAUUCUGGCUCAGAACGAACGCUGGCGGCGCGUCUUAAGCAUGCAAGUCGAACGGUAAGGGAGAGCUUGCUCUCCCCUAGAGUGGCGGACUGGUGAGUAACGCGUGGGUGACCUGCCCUGAAGAUGGGGAUAGCUAGUAGAAAUAUUAGAUAAUACCGAAUGUGCUCAUUUACAUAAAGGUAAAUGAGGAAAGGAGCUACGGCUCCGCUUCAGGAUGGGCCCGCGUCCCAUUAGCUGGUUGGUGAGGUAAAGGCCCACCAAGGCAACGAUGGGUAUCCGGCCUGAGAGGGUGAACGGACACAUUGGGACUGAGAUACGGCCCAAACUCCUACGGGAGGCAGCAGCUAAGAAUCUUCCGCAAUGGACGAAAGUCUGACGGAGCGACGCCGUGUGAAUGAAGAAGGCUGAAAGGUUGUAAAAUUCUUUUGCAGAUGAAGAAUAAACACAGGAGGGAAUGCCCUGUGAGAUGA
rnacentral:rRNA from 1 species